rnacentral:lncRNA from 1 species
GGCGGGGCUGGGGAGCCGUGCGGGUGCCCCGCGCCCAGAGCUGUGCCGACCCUGCUACCCGCGUGGGCCAGCGCCUGCCGCCGCGGCCCGGACCCUACUUCCUCGGUCCCCGAGGGCAGGCGGCUGGGCAGGGGUGAGGGGCCGCGGCGAGGAGGCUCACGGGUCCCCGGUGGGGGACGGAGGCUGCCGGCGUGGUCGCUGCGGACAUUUUGCCGCAGUUGUGCUGGCGGGGCCGCCUCGGAGUCUUGGCUUCCGGGAGCGGCGCACCCGCGGGACCCCUAGGAGUCCGGGCAGCCCUUGGACCUGCAGCGCUGAGCCUGUCGGGUCCAGCAGCCCUCCGAGCACGGGGACCUUGACGUCGGGCGCCGCGAGUGUCGCUCAGCUUGCGGGCGGUUGCGACGCGCCGGCGGAGGCUAUGCCCAGGUGGCCCUCUGGCUGUAGCGGACGCCGCGAGGCCUGCGUGGGAAGCCCCAGGACGCGGAGCUGGUGGAGAACUGCACUCCCCGUUUCUAUCCAUUUUCUCCUCCUGAAAUGACAAGAUGCCAGAGGACGGCUGGGGAGAGAACUGGAGGAAACUAGUUAGGGCUUCAGAUUGACCCCGCAGCAGUGUCUGCUCCCGCAUGUCAGGCUUGUCCAACGCGCUUUCACAGACAGGAGCCUCUUUUUUAAAAGCAAGUAUUGAAUUAAGUGAUCAGGAGGAAACAGCGUACUCUCUGCAACCCCAGUUCUCAUGUAGUAUGGGUUUUCUGGUGAACAGCACAGCUCCAUUUGUUAGAAGACUCACUUCACUUUCAAUUGCAACCAAACUAGAUAGCAAUGCCAGACUGUAAAUGCCAGCUUUAAAGAAAGCUUCUUUACUUUAGACAAGCUACAUAGAACAGCUUGACAUUUUCUCCAAAGCUUAGAACCCACCAAGAGUCCGUGUUAUGAAGAGGAGAUUCUAGAACAGACCCUUCAAUUUCUGGAUUUUAAGUCAGCUUUAAUUAAUACUUUUCUGGUAUAUGUUAAUUUUCAAAAUUAAUUUUUUAAAAUAUUUAUUUUAAAUAUUUUUAAAAUUGUUGAUGGACCUUUGUUUUAUUCAUUUAUUUUUAUGUGGUGCUGGGAAUUGAACCCAGUGCCUCACACAUGUGAGGCAAGUGUUCUACAACUGAGCUACAAUCUCAGCCCCCUUAACUAAUUUUUGAAGUUUGAGUUUGUGCACAUGAUCCUAGAUUAAAAUAGUGUAUUAAGUGAGGAGUAUAUGGGAGAAAUAAUUUUGCAUUUGGUUUGUACAGAUGAACCUUGUCUCCAAAUUAAUAGAUCUUUUGUUUGUUUAGUUUCACUAAUGUUGAGACAUUAAGAAUCUGGCAUCCUAAGUUUUCUCCUACACCUACUUAAGAACUUUAAAGAAUGUUUUUCUAUAUUGAACUGUGGGGUGGUAAAGCAAACUGUGGUCUUGUAUUUAGAAGGCAGCAGUGAUUAUGUGCUUCGAAGGGCCUUGAGGUUAAGGGUCCCUGUAACAAGGCUGAGUGAGCCUCAUGUUAUCCCUGUUUUAUAGGCAGGAAAACCAAUAUGGAGCUGCAGGGCCUGAGCCUGAGCUGGAAGCCAGGUUUUCUGUUAUACCUGGUGCCAAAAGUGGCUGCCCCAUGGUGUUUCCCUAGCUGCUACCUGUUCGCCUGCUGGUUUCUAAGCAACCUCAACAUGAUGCACACUGGUGUAUCUGCUUGAAGCCACAGAUCACCAGUUGGCUGAACCUUUGACCUUCCAGUUGACCUCUGACUUGUGAUACUUUACCAAUUCCUUCCUCAAACUCCAUGGCUGCAGUUAACAUCUCAGUGUCCUGUAUUUCCUGCCUCUCUUCUGCUCCUCACCCUCCUGUGUUGGCUCUUCAGCCCUUUCCCAUGCUCACCUCCAGUUUCCUAAGGAUUAUGACCUUGGUUCUUCUGUUAUGCUUGCUCUUGGGGGGGGGGGGGGGUGUCUCAUCCAUCCCAGGACAAUCACUGGUUACCUGAGCUGGAACUUGGACACCAUCCUUGGGCUCACCCUUCACCUCCGGAUUGGGCCUGUCACUAAGUCCUGUCCAUCCUGCCUCCUAAAUGCUUCUCCAGCAAUGCAGCCAUUCAUUCCAGCUUACCUGGUGUCCUAAUUGCUCUCCGAGCCUCCAGUUUUCCCUUUUCUUCACUCACUUUAUAGCCAAAGUGUCUUUUUAAGAAGCGAGAGGCAUGGUGGCACACCUCACUCAAGUGUUCAGGGUUCUGCAUUGUUCUUGGCAUAAAGUUCAGACUCCAACCUACACCAGCCUCACAGCUUGCUCCCACCCCCAACCUCUUUGCUGGGCCUCCUGCUUCUGGCUCAAGUGUGAUGCCCUCCACCUGAGUGAUCUCUCCCCUCUCACCAUCCAGGACAGUUUCAUUUUGUUCCAGGAUUCUAUCACCUCUUCACCCCACCCCUGCAGUUUCUUUUCAGCCUCCUUUUAACACUUGUGUAAGCACCUUGUAUAGGUUUCGCUAGUGCCACUUGUGCAGCUGCUGUUGGAUCUGCCUGCCCGGACCUCUCAUUCCCCUCGACUGUGUGUCCUCCUCUGUCUGCUGCAUGGCCAGCAUGGGCUUAGCCUGUGGUAGAAGUUUCUGUAUUUAUAUGGAGUGAUAGCCAUGCCCUGAAGCACCCCGAGCAGAAUCUCUAGCCCCAUACGCAUAUUCAGUUAUAAAGAACACACAUCAUUUAGCCAUCUUGGUAGACAUUGCCAUCUGGAUGGCCCACAGCCGUGUACCGGCAAGCUCAGAGCCGCACUUGAUAAUCUGCUUAUUCUUUCCUUCUCUACCCUACUUAAAGGGACUGUCAGCCCUGUUAACCAAGCCAGAAACAUAGUUAUUUCUCUCAACUUCUGCAUUUGACUGACACUAGUCUUAACAGUCUACCUCUUAAACGUCCCUUGGAUCCGUCUUCAACAGUGCUGCUUUGGCUGUUCCAGGCUCCCAGCCCCUCUGGCCAAUCUAGCUGCUCCACCCAGUUCCAGCUUCGAUUUUGCUUCCUUCUCUUCCCACUCACUUAACCCAUUUUCAAUUAGAUUCCUCUUCCUAAGCACCGAGAUGAUCAACCUGCUUUCUAGUUGCUACCACCCUUCCAUGGCUUCCAGUGAUCUGAAGCUUCAGCACUGGUCACGGCCUGUCCAGUGCUGCCGGGUGGCUUUCUCUCUGCCUGACCCAGGCCACUUCACUCCCUCCUCCUCUCCGAGCUCCCUGGAUUCAAUGUGAAUGACACAUCUGAUUUCUCUUACAAGCGUUAGACCAAAGCCAUCUCCUAUUGGGCUUGACAUCACCACAGCAUUUACCCAUCUCUUCUUGGCAGCUCAAAGGUCUGUGUGCUCUUAUGGUGUGGUGUCCCAGAGCUUUGGGCCGUUGCUAGGGCUGUUGCUUUCGAGCCAGCUGAUCUGGCUGGUUGGCGUUUUUCCUUAGAAACUGGUUUACAGUGGUGUCCAACACUGUGGUGUUAGUAAUACUAUAAAAUUCAGUUUGUCUGCAUUUCUUGUGCCAAACAAACACAGCCUUUCAUAAGUUGGGGGAGGGAAGUCUGCAUGGGAUUUAAAACAAGCCUCUCCAUAUUUGGAAGUGGGAAGUUUUACUCAGCUGUGAUUAUCAUUUCAUUUCAAACGCAGAGCUUUCAAAUAUGGAGAUCCAAAUUUGCCCAACCUGUGGUUUGGGUAGUUGUCCCUUAAAAAAUCUAGGCUGGAGUAGAGCGUAGGGAUCAGUUUCCUAUGACUGCUGCAACAAAUUACCCCAAAUGUGGUGACUUAAAGCAACACAAGUCUGUUCUUCCACGGUUCUGGAGGUGGGCGUUGAAGUCGUAUCACCAGGCUGAGGUCAAGGUGUCAGGGGGACCUUGUGGGGAGAGUCCAUUGCCAUCUCUUCCAGCUCUCGGAGCAGCUGGCAUUCCUGGGCUGUGGUGGUGUCACUGCGUUCCCAUGUCCAUGGUAACUGUUGCCUUCUUCUGUCUGCCUCUCAUGGAAAGCUGAGAAGGCAUUCUGAGCCUAUGCAGAUACUCUCCUCAGCUCAAGAUUUUGAAUUUAACCACAUCUGCAAAGAUCACCGGGUUUCAGGGACCAGGACCUGGUAUUCACAGGGUCAUUCUUCAGCCUGCUGCAGAUGAAAACGCUGUUCCUAUAUGUAAAUAACUGGGAGUGACUUCUGCAAAGUAAAUGACAGAAAAGGGAAUGGAAAGUGGGGGAAAUUAAGGAAGGUGGUAAGUGAUAGAAUGCUGUGAAAAUGGCCUCUUCUGUGUGGCCACCACUUCAGACACAAGUAGGCCCCAAACUGGAAGGCUCUGGCCAUGGUACUCUCAGCAUGUGUGAAGUUGGGUUGGGUCAAGUGUUGAUCUCACAACCAGGAAGCCCUGUCUUUAAAGAUUACCAUAAAAAAGGUAAGGGAGACUAUUAAGCUGAGGACACCCCCCGCCCCAGCGGUGUGCUGGUGUUCUCUGAAGGGCCUUGCUUCCCACUUCUCACCACCAGUCCUCAUAGCCUUACUCGUGGACCUUGGAGUCCCCAGCUCAGCACCUCGCUGAUAAUAACCAAAUAGCACCAACAACUCCACAGCAGUUUCUAGCAACCCUUUUGCCCUGAGGAAGAUGGUGAGAGGACUUGGGUGUGUGUGAGUGUGUGAAAUGGCAAUAGUGAUUCUAUUUGAUUACAAACUUUGUGCACAGUAAGAACAUGGAUUUAGAUGCUCUUUCUUCUGUGCUGUUCUAUAAGUUUCUAUCAUGAAAGGAAGUGAGGAAUAUAAUUCCUUUAAAAUUUGCACCACGGGAUUUCUUUGGUAAAGAAAGAUGGAUGCUCCUGUCUCCAGUGUUUGGACUGGGGUGAAGAAUGACAGCUACUGUUUAACAAGUGUCUGCUGUGUGCCCCUAACUGUGAACCCAUCCUCCCAGCCACUUUGUUCCUUAGGAAUAAUGAUUCCCACUUUACAUGCUGAGAAAGUGAGGCUCAUAAAGACCAGAAAGAGGAAGAAUGGAAGUCGGAACCUUCCAACAGCAAUGCCUGUGACCGUCACUAUGUCAAGCUGCUCUGAAAUACUUCAGAUAUAGUUGGUUGAGUUCAUUAACUGGUCAGCCCUUGAUCUCAUUUUCUUCUUAAUGGGAAGGGGGGAAUCCAGAGCACAGCACUUUGAUUAGAUGAGUUGGAAAUGGAGAAAUGUGUAUAUAACCUGGAGCAAUUGGGAAGCAAAGGGCUCCCGCUGCAAGGCCUGUGUGUGAUCAGGGAAGCCAUUGAUGAACUAGUUAUUCUGCAAAGAGGACAGUGUGGAGAGAGGGAACAGGUUCUGUCUUGUGCCUUUGCUGUGAUUGUUCCCCUGAAGUGGCACCCCCUUUCUCCACAGAAAAGCCCUCUUCACCAUGGCUGAUUUUAGGACUGUCAGCAAAAGAGUCCAAUGUAGAUAAACUUCCUAUUUUCAUGUCGCCCUGUUUACUUGGCCACUGGCCUGGGAGACACCAGCACUCCAGGUGCUGGACACCCCUUACUAGCUUUUCACAAACAUGUAUCCAGUAUAGUAGUUUGUAGAAAUGUGCAAACAAGACCUCUGGCCUUGAGCUGGGCUUCACAGAGAUGUCAACAUUUCUAAGAUAAGUUACAAUUGGGCUCCAUGGUAACAGCUGGCAGGGGAGGAAAGAGAGGGGAGAAGAAGCUCCCCCCUUCUCAGGUGUUUUCCUUGAAGGGUUAACGUGCCCAGAACAGUGAGAGAAAAAGCUGCUUUUAUGUGAACUUCUGCAGACUGUGAACUUCUGAGCCCCUCCCCUUACACGCUGGGUAUAAAACUCUGAAACUCCCUGAACUCGGGGUUCAGGGGAUUAAUUGAUUACAGCAAAAGCUGUGCCCUCUGAAUCUGGCUGUAGCCAAAUAAAACUGUUUCCUG